GACGAACGCUGGCGGCGUGCCUAAUACAUGCAAGUAGAACGCACAGUUUAUACCGUAGCUUGCUACACCAUAGACUGUGAGUUGCGAACGGGUGAGUAACGCGUAGGUAACCUGCCUGGGAGCGGGGGAUAACUAUUGGAAACGAUAGCUAAUACCGCAUAAUAUUGAUUAUUGCAUGAUAAUUGAUUGAAAUAUGCUAUUGCAUCACUACCAGAUGGACCUGCGUUGUAUUAGCUAGUAGGUGAGGUAACGGCUCACCUAGGCGACGAUACAUAGCCGACCUGAGAGGGUGAUCGGCCACACUGGGGCUGAGACACGGCCCCGACUCCUAAGGGAGGCAGCAGUAGGGAAUCUUUGGCAAUGGACGAAAGGCUGAACGAGCAACGCCGCGUGAGUGAAGAAGGUUUUCGGAUCGUAAAGCCCUGUUGUAAGAGAAGAAAGGGUGUGAGAGUGGAAAGUUCACACUGUGACGGUAUCUUACCAGAAAGGCACGGCUAACUACGUG
rnacentral:rRNA from 1 species